rnacentral:rRNA from 1 species
UACGUAGGGUGCAAGCGUUAAUCGGAAUUACUGGGCGUAAAGCGUGCGCAGGCGGUUUUGUAAGUCUGUCGUGAAAUCCCCGGGCUCAACCUGGGAAUUGCGAUGGAGACUGCAAGGCUUGAAUCUGGCAGAGGGGGUGGAAUUCCGGGUGUAGUGGUGAAAUGCGUAGAGAUCCGGAGGAACACCAGUGGCGAAGGCGGCCCCUGGCCGCGCCUGACGCUGAGACGCGAAAGCGCGGGAGCGAACGGG